CCUACGGGAGGCAGCAGUAGGGAAUUUUCGUCAAUGGGCGCAAGCCUGAACGAGCAAUGCCGCGUGAACGAGGAAGGUCUUCGGAUCGUAAAGUUCUGUUGAAGGGGAAAAAGAGCGGAGAGAGGAAAUGGUCUCCGAUUGAUAUUACCCUUCGAGGAAGUCACGGCUAACUACGUGCCAGCAGCCGCGGUAAUACGUAGGUGGCGAGCGUUAUCCGGAAUGAUUGGGCGUAAAGGGUGCGUAGGGGGCCUGUUAAGUCUGGGGUGAAAGGUACCGGCUCAACCGGUACAGGCUCUGGGAACUGGCGGGCUAGAGAGCAGGAGAGGGCGGUGGAACUCCAUGUGUAGCGGUAAAAUGCGUAGAUAUAUGGAAGAACACCAGUGGCGAAGGCGGCCGCCUGGCCUGUUACUGACGCUGAGGCACGAAAGCGUGGGGAGCAAAUAGGAUUAGAUACCCCUGUAGUC
rnacentral:rRNA from 1 species